CGCACCUUGCGCUCCUUGGUAUUCCGAGGAGCAUGCCUGUUUGAGUGUCUUGAAAUCAUCAAGCCCCCCGGUUUUGCGACCGCGGGGCUUGGACUUGGGGGCUUGCUGCGGCGACGCGGCUCCCCUUAAAUGAAUCGGUCGGACCCCUCGGGGCUCCUUUCCUGGGCGUUGUACCAUCCUCGUCCGAUGGGAGGGCCUCUUGCCGACCCCGACCUGCCUCUGGAGCGGCGGUCAACACACUUUGAAAUCUGACCUCAAAUCAGGUAGGACUACCCGCUGAACUUAA
rnacentral:misc_RNA from 1 species